rnacentral:rRNA from 1 species
GAUGAACGCUGGCGGCGUGCCUAAUACAUGCAAGUCGAGCGAACAGACGAGGAGCUUGCUCCUCUGACGUUAGCGGCGGACGGGUGAGUAACACGUGGAUAACCUACCUAUAAGACUGGGAUAACUUCGGGAAACCGGAGCUAAUACCGGAUAAUAUAUUGAACCGCAUGGUUCAAUAGUGAAAGACGGUUUUGCUGUCACUUAUAGAUGGAUCCGCGCCGCAUUAGCUAGUUGGUAAGGUAACGGCUUACCAAGGCAACGAUGCGUAGCCGACCUGAGAGGGUGAUCGGCCACCCUGAACUGAGACACGGUCCAGACUCCUACGGGAGGCAGCAGUAGGGAAUCUUCCGCAAUGGGCGAAAGCCUGACGGAGCAACGCCGCGUGAGUGAUGAAGGUCUUCGGAUCGUAAAACUCUGUUAUUAGGGAAGAACAAAUGUGUAAGUAACUAUGCACGUCUUGACGGUACCUAAUCAGAAAGCCACGGCUAACUACGUG